UAAGUAAAAAGCUCUUACCUACUAAAAGUUCAAAUGAGACAGCGAGACAAACGAGUGCAGACACAAAGGGCUGGGACGGAAGUACAUAAUGGAGUGAACCGAAAGCUUUCAUGUAAGAGAUGACACCAAGGGGGUCAGUGGGAAGCCAGAAGACAGAUCUUAGUUAAGGCUUACCCGAAACCGCCCUGGAGGAAGGUACCACUGUAGGUGAAGAAUGCAUCAGUGACUAGCUUCCAGUUCCUCUCUGACAAAACCAGACCUUGUGAUACUGUGGAGAUCCAGAGAGAUUGCAGAUGUGAAGGCCUGAGGAUGGCGUGCCUGCGGUGGUCAAGGCCUGAUGCAGUGAAUCAUGUUCCUGCUGGUAAGACGAAGAAGCAUUACAUUAUUGGAGACUGCUCUGAGUGCAGUGACAGGAGAAAGGAAACGAUUUGGUUCUUUACAAGGUGACCAAUUUUCAGAUAAUGAGAGCACAGUGAAACACACUCAGUAUUACAGUA